rnacentral:lncRNA from 1 species
CUUUUAGAACUGCUCUGGAAACUUUAAAACCCUCAGCAGAAAGGUAGAGAUAGGUAAAACUCCUUGGAGGCUUGAUUUUCCUUCAAGGCAGGAAGGGUCAGGUACUUUUUUUUGUUUGUAACUUGUUUUCUGACUUUACUUGAAAGCCAUAAUGUUUCCUCUCUCUUUUUUCCUCUUGUUCUGAGUUUACUGCAGGUUUCAAAGUAUCACAUUCAAGCACACUGAAUAAGUUUAUCAAGAGUAAUUCAUAGUUGUACAACAUAGCUGUACAGGUCUUACCGUAGAGCAUAAAUAUCAAUAGCAUUUUGCAGAUGGAGAAACCGAGUCUCAGACUGUGGGAUUUGAUUUCAUUUAACUGUAUGAAAGGCACCUUCAUCUCACCCAAGCUGUUCCUUUGGACUUGUAGGAAUGCAAUCUGACUUUCAUUUCAUCUACGUCUGGAGGUGAGCGGCAUCCCGGGAUUGCUAGUUUGUCUCCAUUCACCAAAAGAGGGUCCAGGCAGCUUAGACUAAACAGAUCCUGCUCAGAAUUACAGAACUGGAGAGUAGCAGAGCUGGCAUCCUGACUUCCAGGACCUUCUCCUGUGCCAUAUUUUAUUAACAGCACUGAUAUGCAACGGACUUCUUUCUGUAACUCCUUCUCUGUGCCUUUUUAUGACACUUUUUGGAGGAAGCUUCUUAGCAGAGUGACAGGACAUAGAACUAGAACACCACCCUCUGCCAGUGUCCUUUCAGCAUUUUGGACAGUGAGAAAGCAUCCUCAAGUUAAUGACUAAGUGAAGAUCAGGCUCUGUCAGAAUCUCAGUCUGUGAAGAUCUCUCUCCUGCCUUCUCUCACUCUGUGGCAGCAUAAGAGGAAGGUCUGGGCUGUAUCUCUGCUAGAUGCUGCUCAGGCACCUGCUUUUCCCAGCUGACCAGUCCCUUUCUGAUUAGUAAAAGAGCAACAACUGGUAAACAUGGCUUAAGAUACUACCGACAUGUGCCAAACAAUUUUCUAUUAUUAAAUAUCAAAAGCAAAAGUUUACAUUGUUUUCUAACAAGUUGAGAGUCUGGUCUGUGUGAGGAGAAACUGAAUCAGAAUUGUUGACUCUGUGCUGCAUUAAAUAAAAGAUAUUAUAUGGUUUUUAAAUGUCA